rnacentral:rRNA from 1 species
AAUUUUGGACAAUGGGGGCAACCCUGAUCCAGCCAUCCCGCGUGUGCGAUGAAGGCCUUCGGGUUGUAAAGCACUUUUGGCAGGGAAGAAAAGGCCCUGCCUAAUACCCGGAGAUGCUGCCGGUACCUGCAGCAUAAGCCACGGCUAACUACGUGCCAGCAGCCGCGGUAAUACGUAGGGUGCAAGCGUUAAUCGGAAUUACUGGGCGUAAAGCGUGCGCAGGCGGUUCGGCAAGAAGGAUGUGAAAUCCCAGGGCUUAACCUUGGAACUGCAUUCUUAACUGCCUGGCUAGAGUAUGUCAGAGGGGGGUAGAAUUCCGCGUGUAGCAGUGAAAUGCGUAGAGAUGCGGAGGAAUACCGAUGGCGAAGGCAGCCCCCUGGGAUAAUACUGACGCUCAUGCACGAAAGCGUGGGGAGCAAAC